UGUGUGUGUGUGUGUGUGUGUGUGUAAAGACAGGGGUCUUCCUACAUUUCCCAGGCUGGUCUUGAACUCCUGGCAUCAAGCAAUCCUUCCACCUUGGCCUCCCAAAGUGCUGGGAUUACAGGUGUGAUUCACUGCGUCCAGCCCUAGUUGACACUCUGUAUGUGGUAGGCAUUACUACGAGAUGUUCAGAUCCCUCAUAAAUAAGAGUGUCCUUUUAUAAAACUCUACAGCAUACACUUAUGUUCCAUUUUAUCUUGUCUUCCCUAGAGAUGAGUCAAUUGAGCAGGAGACAGUGUAAGCAGCUGUGGGGGUGUUGAGUACUCCCUCCUGCCUGUGGGAGCUGCACCAUGGAGUCUAGCUUGUUAUCCUCCAGAGGCAGAGCCCCACAUCCCUGCCUCCUCUUGGUACAGAUGGACAGCCAUGGUGGUGGAGGCUGCAGAGCUGAGCAGGUGAUACUGGGCAGCGACCCUGCUGCGGGCAGGGUCCACACCCCAUAGCUCUUUCCUGCAUUUAUUUAACAAGCGACAUUGAGCCAGCAAUCUCUGUUGAAAAGUGCUCAGCCCUGGAGACAGAACUGUGAACAACGUGGACACAGCUCCUGCUUUGUGAAGCUUGGUGUCUGGCUGGGGUAAAAAUAAACAAGCAGUUACAACACAGUUACGAUCCCUACUGUAACGGAGGAGAGAUGGCAGCCAAAUUUCUGGGCCAGGCUACAGAGAGUUUGGGGGUGUUCAGAGAAAGCCUUCUGCAGGAAGUAAUAGCAAAGCUAAGGUUUGAAGGGUGACUAGAGCUCAGUCAGGCAGAAGGCUCAGGACGCUUCCAAAGAGAACAGUACAUGUGAGCUCAGAGGUGAAAGCUCCCUCUGGGUGGGGCAAACAGGAGACUUGGGCAGGGUCUGAUCUGGGAGAGGCUUGUGAGCCCAGGCAAGGGUUUUGCUUGCUAUUCAGGGGCUUUGGGCGUGCCUUUAAAAGUUUUCAGCAAGGAGACAAGAUGACUGGUUCUUCCUUUUAGAAAGAUCAGAGACAGAUGGGGAGCAAGAGAAAAGAGGAGACUGGAGGCCCGUUCAAAGGCUGUCACAAUAGAUAAAGCACGAGAUGAUGGUUGAACGGAUCAGGAAAGUGACCGUGAGGAUGAAGAGAAAGGAGACAGAUGUGAGAGAUACUUAGGAGGACAAAUCUGUGGGGCAUGGUGGGAGGGGGAGGUAGGCAUCCAGGACAACACCCAGACUUCUGGUUUGAAUAAGGAGUGGGCUUCCCCAAGACCAGCAACACCAGAGGAGUAGCAGGCUUUCGGGAAAGGAUAAGAGGCCACCACUGGACAAGGUGAGCAUUAGGCACAAGUGAGAUGUCUAUGCAGAGUUGUCUGGGAGGAGCAGGAUACAGAUCUGGAGUUUAGGACAGAUUUUGACUAGAAAUACAGAUUUUGGAAUUACUGGCACAUACAUGCAACUAAGAUAUGAACGUGUACUACAAUGAGAAGAAAAGGUCAAGGAGACAGAGUCUACCCGAGAGGUAGGCAGGCCAAGGGAGAACUCCCAAGGAAGAUUCAAGUUGGAACACUCGAGGGGUACGAGGAAAUUCAGGAGAUCUGACACUCGGGGGGAAUUUCAGGCAGGGAGGAGGGUAAAUUGUAUCUCAUGCUGCCUGGAAGUCAAGUGAGGUAAAGAUGUAAGAGUCCACUGGGUUAGCAACCAGAUAGUGACAUUGGUGAGUGUGGUUUCAGAGAAGGGGUGGGGCAGAGGCAGACUGCCUAGAGAGGAGAA
ensembl:lncRNA